rnacentral:rRNA from 1 species
GCAAGUUGAGCGGUAAGGCCCCUUCGGGGGUACACGAGCAGCGAACGGGUGAGUAACGCGUGGGUAAUCUACCUAGAGGUGGGGGAUAGCCUCGGGAAACCGGGGGUAAUACCGCAUGAGUUCCGAUCGACAUAAGUCGAACGGUGGAAAGGCGGGGAUCUUCGGACCUGUCGCCUCUAGAUGAGCCCGCGUCCGAUUAGCUUGUUGGUAGGGUAAUGGCCUACCAAGGCGACGAUCAGUAGCUGGUCUGAGAGGAUGAUC